GUUCGGUCCCCUCGCGCGGUCCGCAGGGACGGUGGCCGCGGAGGGCCAGCCGAGGGCGAAGGCGGCACCGCGGGCUGCGGCGGGCGGGCGGGCUGGGCGGGCGUCUCGCCCGUUUCCGUAGGCAGCGGCCUGACGCCGCCGGGCGUGGACGUCACGCAACAGUGUCCCCGGGCGAGCGAGCGGGCGAGCGAGCGGCGGGCGGGUGGGCGGAAGGAAGCGUGUGCGGCCCGGCGGGAGCCCGGCGUCGGGCGCGCGUGGGCAUGAGCUCGGGCCGCCGGGCCCUCGGCUGGCUGUGGCUGCUCCCCGCCCCCCGCCGGGGCUCUGCGUAACCGCGCGGGCGGGCGAGCGGAUGGUGGAAACAUGAGCGCCCCGUGUGCUGUACAAACCCCUUGACAGGUGUGACUUGACAACCUCAUUCAGGCCUCACCCUGCUGCCUCUGGUGGCUCUUGCCAUGUUGUUCUGCAGCCAUGGACUUAUCACCGUGCUUUCCAGCAGGUAUCUGUGCUCUUCACUCUCUUGUUUCCCUCACGUUAGCAUGUAAACUGGAGAGCAACACCUUUGCCUCCAACAUUAUCAGUCCCUAGCACUAUGUUGAUAGUCUAGUUAUUUGUUGAGUAAAUAAAGGUUGAAUAAGCAAAGCUACAUUUUAUUUAGUUCAUUUUUUGAUCUGGGGCUAUCUGCGUCUCAGAUUUCUCAUCCACAUCGUGAUCACAACCUGCCUUUCGGCCCUCAGAAGAGGCAUGUCUGAACUCUUCAGGAAUCCUACAGUACUGUGCAAAUGCAAGUUGGCUGAAUAACAUAUGCCAGCUCAUCUGGUAUUCCCACGAUCAGGGAGGAAUUCCAAGGGUUAGAGUAUACGUUAAAUAGCUGUGUCCAAACAGUCGCGGUGCAAUUUGGGAUCUGUAUAGAUCGGGUCAUCAGGUAAGAAGAACUUUUGCUGCAUUAGUCUGAAGAGGAAUUCAGUUCCCCAGAACCAACAUCAGAAGUUGGGCAUAGUCGCUUCACAGGCGCCCAAUAUCUUAUGGGGGCGGGGGGUGAGGCAGAGAGGGAGACAGGCUCACAAGGGCUUGCUGGCUGCCCAAGCCUAGCCCUAGAUGUUUGUCUCAAGACGGUGAGGCAGAGAGUAGUAGAGCACAAUACCAGACGUCUCCUUCUGACCUCUGCAUGUGCAUAUUUACACACAGUGCAUGUAUGCAGAAGUUCAAAUUAGGAAAAGUUAGAUACAACUUUGGAACAGGGUAGAUAGAGCAGCACUUUAACCAGUGUCUGAAACUGGAGAUAGCCCAAUGUAGUGGAAAAGAAUCUGGUCUUGGUCCUAAUAUGAUGAAUCUAGAGUCAAUACAUCCUUUCAUAUACAGAGAAGUUAGGUUUGGGGACAAUUUGUUGUUUGUUUCCCUUUUGAUACAUAGUCUCACUGUGUUAGGUAGCUCUGGCUAGUCUGGAAGUCAGUAUGUAGACCAAGCUAGCCUCAACUCUGAAGUAUGCUACUUCAGUUCCCUGCCCCUUUAGCUCUGAUCCGAUUUUGAGGUGCAGCUGCCUAACUCGUGGAUCUCUAUCUGCCUAAAUAAAUUGAAAUUUUAAAGUGCCAAGCAGCUUUUCUUCUAACCAUGUUGCAGAUCAAAAGUAGGGCCUCCUAUGCAAGCAGAUAUUCUUCCCACUGAGCUAUGCCCUGCUAAGGUGCCAAAGUUUACAGUCUGCCAGAACUCACCAGCUUUUUAACUUAAGGCUCACUAGUAGUGUUUUUCUUUAUUGCAGAAAUAUUUUAAUGCAAUUACAGUACAAUUAUAAAAUCACAUUCCUGAU
rnacentral:lncRNA from 1 species